UCCCAACGGCGACUCCGACACUCGUCCCCUGAGGCCUGAGGCCUUCCUCCGCCCCUGACUUCUUACUCCCUCCCCGACUCCGUCCAAGACGAUCCCGCCGCCGCCGCUCCUGACGCUACCUUCAGCACCGUUGCCGCCAUCCAGCUCCUCCCGCAGCCCUCCAUCUCCGGCCGAAACCUAGCCUUCUCCCAGCAUGGUGAUGGUGACGUCAAGACAGUUCUGGACAUGCUAGCAGAAGAGGAAGGCUGACAUGAAGCAGCUACAGAUUAACUGUAAAUAUUUCAUGUCCGUCUAGAUCACUGUGAAAUCUAGGACUCUGUCUAUUGCUCUAUGUUGUAAUAUGGUAUUGUUGUCGCAUAUAAUUCUAUGACGCCAUGACUAUCAGAUUCACUUGCCGAUAUAAAAACUGCAUUUUUAUUCAUGUGUCAUUGUAACCUGGGCACUGUUUAUUUGGACAUCAAUCUUUGACAUUCGUGUAAAAAAAUAUUGAUUUUUUGGUUCUAUGAUAAUCCCUGUGUGCAAAACA